UAAAUGUCCACCAGCUCGUCUUAUGACUUCAUAUUAUUCAAUUUUGAAAAGAAAGUAACCAUGACGUCAAAACUACUGCUUGUGUUCUUAGUUCUUUGCCUUAUGGGAGGAAUUCUGAUUGAAAAUGUUGAAGGUCAAUGUCGGUGUGGAUUCAGAUGUAACCCUCGGCACGAAUGCUAUAUUCGUAGACGUUGUGGUUGGUUGGGUUGGAGAAGAUGGUGCUGUCACGUGAGCCAUCCUCUAUGCCGUUAACAGAACUCAAGCAAACUGGAAAGGCUGACAAAACUUUGCUAGUUUUGUAACUCAAGAAAUAGUAAAAUAUUUCGAGUUGAA